rnacentral:rRNA from 1 species
GACGGAGGGUGCUAGCGUUGUUCGGAAUUACUGGGCGUAAAGGGCGCGUAGGCGGCCGCUCAAGUCGGGUGUGAAAGCCCGGGGCUCAACCCCGGAACUGCACUCGAGACUGUGUGGCUGGAGAUCGGAAGAGGAGAGUGGAACACCCAGUGUAGAGGUGAAAUGCGCAGAUAUCAGGAGGAACACCAAUGGCGAAGGCAGCACUCUGGGACGUGACUGACGCUGAGACGCGAAAGCGUGGGGAGCAAACAGG